GGUAUGUAGCUCAGUGGUAGAAUGCUUGCCUAGUAUGCAUGAGGCCCUGGGUCCGAUUCCUAAUACUA
rnacentral:tRNA from 1 species